rnacentral:misc_RNA from 1 species
CUUUUCUUUUUUUUUUUAAAUAAAAUCAGGCACUGGAGAGACUACCUUCACAAGGGCCCCAGUUGAUUGCAAGCUAGUUCAAAAACAUAUGCAACAAAAAUCUAAUCUAUUACUUAUUCCUUUAAUGAUGGUCAACUUCCAAGUACUGCCAAAGAUAACAUUUGAUGUUAUGAAUUGAUAGUUAAGUCAAUAAAUCAGCUGAUAGGCUAUCACAUUUGUUGAGGUUUUGUUGUCUUCCAAUUAUGCAGUCGGGCAUCAAAAUGACAUGAAUCAUUGGAAAUUCCCUAGCAUUUAAAAAAAUUCAAACUUACAGAAGCAAGCUCCUCAAUGACAA